GAUGAACGCUAGCUACAGGCUUAACACAUGCAAGUCGAGGGGAAACGAUAUUGGAAGCUUGCUUCCGAUAGGCGUCGACCGGCGCACGGGUGAGUAACGCGUAUCCAACCUGCCCACCACUUGGGAAUAACCUUGCGAAGAUAAGACUAAUACCCAAUGAUAUCUCAAGAAGACAUCUGAAUGAGAUUAAAGAUUUAUCGGUGAUGGAUGGGGAUGCGUCUGAUUAGCUUGUUGGCGGGGUAACGGCCCACCAAGGCGACGAUCAGUAGGGGUUCUGAGAGGAAGGUCCCCCACAUUGGAACUGAGACACGGUCCAAACUCCUACGGGAGGCAGCAGUGAGGAAUAUUGGUCAAUGGGCGAGAGCCUGAACCAGCCAAGUAGCGUGCAGGAUGACGGCCCUAUGGGUUGUAAACUGCUUUUAUAAGGGAAUAAAGUGAGUCUCGUGAGACUUUUUGCAUGUACCUUAUGAAUAAGGACCGGCUAAUUCCGUGCCAGCCGCCGCCGUAA
rnacentral:rRNA from 1 species